UGUGACACAUCGCCCCAGAUCAUGACGGACCCUCCACCUCCCUCCAUAUCGAUCCCGCUCCAGAGUAUUGUCCUCGGUGUAACGCUCAUUCCUUCGACAAAAAUGCUCAUUCCUUCCAAAAUGUUGAUCUCUUUCUCUCCCUCUCCUCUCCCCAUUCUCUCUCUCUCCCAGUGUGUGAGUCGUGUCUGGCAGGUACUGAGCCUGCUGUAGGUUAUCAGUUUAAGUGGUGGAAUGUUGGACCAGCCAACAUGAAGACGUCCUGCAUCAACGUGAGAAGCUCCAAGUGUGACGGUAUUAACGGUUGGGAGGUAGCGGGGAAUCAUAUCUGCAGUGGCGCACGGGGCUCUGAUAAUGACUACCUCAUCCUCAACCUCCACGUACCUGGCUUCAAGUGCGUCAGAAUGUGAACGGCAUGGUGCAUAUCUACUCCAUCUCAGUGAGUAACACGGUAGACGGUGUGUCGUCAGAGUGUCAGGCCUGUGCCCUUCUCUCCCAACCCUCCGGCUCGCUGUGUGUCCCCUGCCCUCCAGGACACUACAUACACACACUCACACACACACCAGCCAGUGCACAGAGUGCCCCCCAACACACACCUCACCUCACAUAACACCCAGAGCCCAGAGGUCUGCAAACCCUGUGGACCAUCCAGCAAGAGUAACAAGGUGUGUGUGUGUGUGGACGUGUUUAGCUAUCCUUGCGGAGACCCGAAGUCCCCACAAGAAUAGUAAACAAACAAAAAUUGGACCAAUUGGGGACACAAUGCUAUUUCUAGGGGGUUUAGGGUUAAGGUUAGAGUUAGGGUUAGAAUUACGUUUAGGGUUAGGAGCUAGGGUUAGGGUUAAGGUUAGGUUUUUGGGUUAGGGUUAGGGUAAGGGUAAGAAUACGGGUGAGGGAAAAUAGGAUUUUGAAUGGGACUGAAUUGUGUGUCCACACAAGGUUAGCUGUACAAGACUGUGUGUGUGUGAAGGUGGGUCGAGCUUGGUGAAGAAAAGUGUGUGUCCAUUGUUUCUUCCACAAGUUGCAUAAUAGUGCACAACUGAAUGUUUGUGUGUUUUUCCUACUCUGAUAACAAAGGGUCUCAGAGUUUUGACUAUAGUUCUCUCGGCUCUGUUGGAACACUGAUGAACAGACCCAGUUUUACCUCUAAAGGAACUAAGUACUACCACCUCUUCAACAUCAGCCUCUGUGGAGAGGAUAGGAGGGCUGUGUGUACAGAUAAUGUGACUGUGCUAUCCAGCGCCGACUCUCAGAGAGAGACAGGGGAAUCAGCCAAUGUGGUGGAGAGUUUCAUCUGUCAAUCAACCAUCAUCCCCUCCAGUGGGCGGGGCUUCCGCACAGCACUAUCCUCCCAGUCCAUCAGCUCAGCAGACACGUUCUUGGGACACGCUGUAUGUGUAGAAUGAACCAAAGCUGUGUAAAGGAGGGGUGUCCCUCCCAGAGAACAAGACCUCUCCGUGUAAUAGCAUGGACUUCUUGGUACAGAUGGGGUCGGCGAUAGGAGCAUUCAUUAGAAAGUACCUAGUACCUGUAAUGGAUUACAUUUAGAAAGUAACCUUCCCAACCCUGUUGAUGGCUGAAUGUGUGUAGGAGCACCAGUGGCCUCUGGAUGGAGUGAAGGCAAGACCAGACUUGUUCCAUAAGACCACCAACAAAGUCCUAAAUGCAAACUUCUACCAUUCUCUAGGGCAACCUCGGCAUGUGAAGCGGGUCGUAAUGUGGUGGUGACACUUCGCUGUAACUCGGAUAGGAGCUCACAAGGAGAACUCAGGUACCCAGUCAGUGUCCGGCUGGGAGAUGUGACUGCUGUACCUCGAGGGCGUGUCCUCAGUGUACCGCCACGGACUACCACCAGAUAGACAGCCUGCAAGGGAGAUGUAACAUGCUGUACGUCUGGAAUGAACCAAAACUGUGUAAAGGAGGGGUGUCCCUCCCGGAGAACAAGACCUGGCCGUGUAAUAGCAUGGACUUCUUGGUAAAGAUGGGGGCGGCGAUAGGAGUAUUCACCGCUGCACUGCUCUUCAUCACCUGCUACUUCUGGAAGAAGAACAAGAGGCUGGAGUAUAAGUCCUCUAAGCUGGUGAUGUCGUCCAAUAAGGAGUGUGAACUGCCAGUGGUUGGACAGCUGUGAUGGAGGGAGGGAGAGGUGGAGGACGAGGUAGUCUACUCCAAAAAAAACAUCACUGUUACGCAAACUCAAAGCCAUCACAUCUAGGGGAAACAGAGAAAGUUAUGAAACUGAACAGUUGAACUACACACAGUCAAACGGAUUGGUGUUGGGGGUGAAGAAAGAGGAAAGAGAACAGGGAGAGAGACCAACCCCUCAGAGACUUUUUCAACAGAUCACCCCUGUUGAGUGUUUGAAACCUUAACAUACAUACUACAGGAGGUUGGUGGCACCUUAAUGGGGGAGGAGGGUUUCGUGGUAAAGGUUGGAGUGGAAUAGCAUGAAAUACAUCAAACAUGGUUUCCAUGUGUUUGAUGUCAGUCCAUUCGCUCCGUUCCGGCCAUUACUAUGAGCUGUCCUCCCAUCAGCAGCCUCCUGUGAUACAUACACACAUGCAGAGUACACACACCCCCUGAGAGAACACACACCCAUAAUGUACGCGCACUGACACAAACACAUGUGAAAGGACAUUACACCCUUCUUUCAUUAUCUCUGGAUUGUUGGUAUAUGGAUGGCAUGAUUUAAGAGGGUGUGUAUGGUGUGGUAUAUGGGUGGUGUAAUUUAAGAGGGUGUGUAUGGUGUGGUAUAUGGGUGGUGUAAUUUAAGAGGGUGUGUAUGGUGUGGUAUAUGGCUGGCAUGAUUUAAGAGGGUGUGUAUGGUGUGGUAUAUGGGUGGUGUAAUUUAAGAGGGUGUGUAUGUGGUAUAUGGCUGGCAUGAUUUAAGAGGGUGUGUAUGGUGUGGUAAAUGGGUGGUGUAAUUUAAGAGGGUGUGUAUGUUGUGGUAUAUGGGUGAUGUAAUUUAAGACGAUGUGUGUGGUAUAUGGGUCGUGUAGAGUCUAAAUGUGGGAUGUUUUUGUGCUAUUUUCCGUCACUCUGUUAUCAGGUUGCUUUGGUGGCCAUGUUGUUUUUAUUCAGGUGUUUUGCCAUCUGAGACCAACUUCACACCAACCCUUAAACUAAUAAUCUGGAUAUGAGGAAAGAAAGUGUUCCACGUGCCCUCUGAAAGGCUUGGUGGGAUGUUCUUUCUGUCCAAUCCUUUGAGAUAGAAGUGCACACAUAGCCCUAGAUACCCGGCCGACUUACACACACACACACCCUUGUACAGUCUCAUCUCAGUCUGACCAGCACCGUCCGUGAGCAGUGACACAUUUGAUCUGUCUGGUUUGUUUUAGGGGGGCUGUGUAGGCUUUGGGAUACCAUGGUGAUGUUGAAGAGGGAGUGUCCCUCACCCUCUCCUAGUUCAGUCAGGCGUGGCGAUGUUACAUUAUGCAUACGAUGAUAUGAUUCUGACCUUCUUUCUGUUAUUUCAAGUUAAAUAAAUUGUUUGUGUACACUUUGAAUCUGUCCCUUCACUUC